rnacentral:rRNA from 1 species
UUGGGGUUCGAUUAAGCCAUGCGAGUCGAGAGGUCCAAGACCUCGGCAUACUGCUCAGUAACACGUGGACAAUCUAACCUAUGGAGAGGGAUAAUCCCGGGAAACUGGGGCUAAUACCUCAUAGACUAUGAAUGCUGGAAUGCUUCGUAGUUCAAAGGUCCGCCGCCAUAGGAUGGGUCUGCGGCCGAUUAGGUAGUUGUUGGGGUAACGGCCCAACAAGCCUGUAAUCGGUACGGGUUGUGGGAGCAAGAGCCCGGAGAUGGAUUCUGAGACACGAAUCCAGGCCCUACGGGGCGCAACAUGCGCGAAAACUUUACAUUGCGGGAAAUCGUGAUAAGGGAACUCCUAGUGCCCGUUAAAUCGGGCUGUCCAUCAGUUUAAAAAACUGGUGAAGAAAGGGCCGGGCAAGACCGGUGCCAGCCGCCGCGGUAAUACCGGCGGCUCGAGUGGUGGCCACUAUUACUGGGCUUAAAGCGUUCGUAGCUGGUUUGUUAAGUCUCUGGGGAAAUCUUCCGGCUUAACCGGAAGGCGUCUCAGGGAUACUGGCAGACUAGGGACCGGAAGAGGUGAGGGGUACUCCAGGGGUAGGAGUGAAAUCCUGUAAUCCUUGGGGGACCACCUGUGGCGAAGGCGCCUCACCAGGACGGCUCCGACAGUGAGGGACGAAAGCUGGGGGAGCAAACCGGAUUAGAUACCCGGGUAGUCCCAGCCGUAAACGAUGUGCGUUAGGUGUAUCGGUGACCACGAGUCACCGAGGUGCCGAAGAGAAAUCGUGAAACGUACCGCCUGGGAAGUACGGUCGCAAGGCUGAAACUA